AACAGAAGUAUGAUGCUCCAUCCCAAUGAUUGCACCAGCUUGGUUGUCGAAUCCCACGCUCCAUACAUCCUCUUGUUUCACAAUGCCUUCAAUCCCAGUAGAUGAAAAUUCUGGAAGAUUCUUCUGUACUGCCAAAUCCUCAGGGAAUGAAUCCAAAUAUUCAGGAGCAACUUCUUGUUCUGUACUGAUAACAUUCUUUCCUGUAAUCUGGGGAUCUUCACUUCCCAAGUUUGAGGUGCCUUCUUGAAACUGCUGCGGGCUUUUGAUAAAUCCUUGUGCCAUUGCUAGUUCAUCUGAUAUGGCAAACUCAUCUGGUGGAACAUUCUCAAUUUGAAAAGCCAUGGCUUCAGCAUCUUGACCCAUUUCUACCAUCUCUCGUAAGAUGUAGUCAGGAGAUUGUUCAACAGGAACAAGGUUUAGAGUUGGGACUACAGUGGAUGAUGAGAAAUUUGUCCACUCUGGUCUGUAAUUCACAAUCUGCCCUUCCACAGGUGAUUCAGAUUGACCUGGCUCAU
rnacentral:misc_RNA from 1 species